UACGUAGGGUGCAAGCGUUAAUCGGAAUUACUGGGCGUAAAGCGUGCGCAGGCGGUUUUGUAAGUCUGUCGUGAAAUCCCCGGGCUCAACCUGGGAAUUGCGAUGGAGACUGCAAGGCUAGAAUCUGGCAGAGGGGGGUAGAAUUCCACGUGUAGCAGUGAAAUGCGUAGAUAUCGGAAGGAACACCAGUGGCGAAAGCGGCUUCCUGGUCCAGCACCGACGUUCAGGCACGAAAGCGUGGGGAGCAAACAGG
rnacentral:rRNA from 1 species